rnacentral:rRNA from 1 species
ACACUGACGACAUGGUUCUACUGCCUGUUUAUCAAAAACAUGUCCAUAUGUUUAAGUUUUAUAUGGUCUGGCCUGCCCACUGAUAAUUUGAAUUAAAGGGCCGCGGUAUUCUGACCGUGCGAAGGUUAGCAUAAUAAUUAGUCUCCUAAUUAGAGGCUUGUAUGAAUGGUCGGACAAGCGCCAUCAGUCACGCGUAGAACACUGACGACAUGGUUCUACAGAAACCAGGAUUAGAUACCCUCUUAUUGUUAAUAAAUUUAAUCUAGCCUUAGCAACAAAAAUUGGCGGCGGAUUAACCUCAGAGGAGCUUGCCCAAUAAUAGAUAAACCCCGAUUACUUCUACCCCUUCCUUGUUUGUAUACCGCCACUUAAAAGUGCUAAAAAUCACUUUUUUUCUAAAUAGAUUUCACUAGGUCAAGGUACAGCUUAUGUGGGGGAUGAGGUGAGCUACAUUUUUUAUAAACACGGACCUAUUUAUUAAACUUUAGAGAAGGAGGAUUUGUAUGUAAGAAGAAAAUAAAAGUUUUCUUUUGAUUAUCCUCUCCGUGUACAUAUCGCCCGUCGCUAGACCAAGUCUCUGCUACCGUAUCUCGCGUGACUGAGCGGGCUGG